UCGGGAAUUUUGGGCAAUGGGGGAAACCCUGACCCAGCAACGCCGCGUGAGGGACGAAGGCCUUCGGGUCGUAAACCUCUGUCGGGAGGGAAGAACGGUCUCCGACCCAAUACGUCGGGGAUUUGACGGUACCUCCAAAGGAAGCACCGGCUAACUCCGUGCCAGCAGCCGCGGUAAUACGGAGGGUGCAAGCGUUGUUCGGAAUUACUGGGCGUAAAGCGCGUGUAGGCGGCUUGGCAAGUCGGGUGUGAAAGCCCGGGGCUCAACCCCGGAACUGCACUCGAAACUGCCUCGCUCGAGUCCCGGAGAGGGUGGUGGAAUUCCCAGUGUAGAGGUGAAAUUCGUAGAUAUUGGGAGGAACACCGGUGGCGAAGGCGACCACCUGGACGGUGACUGACGCUGAGACGCGAAAGCGUGGGGAGCAAACAGGAUUAGAUACCCCCGUAGUCC
rnacentral:rRNA from 1 species